rnacentral:rRNA from 1 species
UACGUAGGGUGCGAGCGUUAAUCGGAAUUACUGGGCGUAAAGGGCGCGCAGGCGGCUCAUUUUGUCAGGCGUGAAAGCCCCGGGCUUAACCUGGGAACUGCGUUUGAUACGGAUGGGCUAGAGUUCGGGAGAGGAGAGCGGAAUUCCCAGUGUAGAGGUGAAAUUCGUAGAUAUUGGGAAGAACACCGGUGGCGAAGGCGGCUCACUGGACUGGUAUUGACGCUGAGGUGCGAAAGCGUGGGGAGCAAACAGG